GAGGCGGCGGCGGCGAUGCCAGCCAGCGCGGCGGCUGCCGGGGCCGGGAACGGCCGCCCGGAGCUCGGAGGACGCGGAGCGCGCCGCGCCCGGGGCGCUGACCGAGGGGCUUCUAGCGACCGGUUCCUCUCCGGCUGGGGCCUGGGAAAUGGCAACUGCUGCAGACGCAGCCUUGAGGAUGGCCACUUGCCCGCUCAGCACUGUUACUUAGAAGACAGGAUCCAAGAGGAGCCGCCCCCCGCGGAGCCGGCCCGGGGGCGAGCC
rnacentral:lncRNA from 1 species